GUUAAGCGACUAAGCGUACACGGUGGAUGCCCUGGCAGUCAGAGGCGAUGAAGGACGUGCUAAUCUGCGAUAAGCGUCGGUAAGGUGAUAUGAACCGUUAUAACCGGCGAUUUCCGAAUGGGGAAACCCAGUGUGAUUCGUCACACUAUCAUUAACUGAAUCCAUAGGUUAAUGAGGCGAACCGGGGGAACUGAAACAUCUAAGUACCCCGAGGAAAAGAAAUCAACCGAGAUUCCCCCAGUAGCGGCGAGCGAACGGGGAGCAGCCCAGAGCCUGAAUCAGUGUGUGUGUUAGUGGAAGCGUCUGGAAAGGCGCGCGAUACAGGGUGACAGCCCCGUACACAAAAAUGCACAUGCUGUGAGCUCGAUGAGUAGGGCGGGACACGUGGUAUCCUGUCUGAAUAUGGGGGGACCAUCCUCCAAGGCUAAAUACUCCUGACUGACCGAUAGUGAACCAGUACCGUGAGGGAAAGGCGAAAAGAACCCCGGCGAGGGGAGUGAAAAAGAACCUGAAACCGUGUACGUACAAGCAGUGGGAGCACGCUUAGGCGUGUGACUGCGUACCUUUUGUAUAAUGGGUCAGCGACUUAUAUUCUGUAGCAAGGUUAACCGAAUAGGGGAGCCGAAGGGAAACCGAGUCUUAACUGGGCGUUAAGUUGCAGGGUAUAGACCCGAAACCCGGUGAUCUAGCCAUGGGCAGGUUGAAGGUUGGGUAACACUAACUGGAGGACCGAACCGACUAAUGUUGAAAAAUUAGCGGAUGACUUGUGGCUGGGGGUGAAAGGCCAAUCAAACCGGGAGAUAGCUGGUUCUCCCCGAAAGCUAUUUAGGUAGCGCCUCGUGAACUCAUCUCCGGGGGUAGAGCACUGUUUCGGCAAGGGGGUCAUCCCGACUUACCAACCCGAUGCAAACUGCGAAUACCGGAGAAUGUUAUCACGGGAGACACACGGCGGGUGCUAACGUCCGUCGUGAAGAGGGAAACAACCCAGACCGCCAGCUAAGGUCCCAAAGUCAUGGUUAAGUGGGAAACGAUGUGGGAAGGCCCAGACAGCCAGGAUGUUGGCUUAGAAGCAGCCAUCAUUUAAAGAAAGCGUAAUAGCUCACUGGUCGAGUCGGCCUGCGCGGAAGAUGUAACGGGGCUAAACCAUGCACCGAAGCUGCGGCAGCGACGCUUAUGCGUUGUUGGGUAGGGGAGCGUUCUGUAAGCCUGUGAAGGUGUGCUGUGAGGCAUGCUGGAGGUAUCAGAAGUGCGAAUGCUGACAUAAGUAACGAUAAAGCGGGUGAAAAGCCCGCUCGCCGGAAGACCAAGGGUUCCUGUCCAACGUUAAUCGGGGCAGGGUGAGUCGACCCCUAAGGCGAGGCCGAAAGGCGUAGUCGAUGGGAAACAGGUUAAUAUUCCUGUACUUGGUGUUACUGCGAAGGGGGGACGGAGAAGGCUAUGUUGGCCGGGCGACGGUUGUCCCGGUUUAAGCGUGUAGGCUGGUUUUCCAGGCAAAUCCGGAAAAUCAAGGCUGAGGCGUGAUGACGAGGCACUACGGUGCUGAAGCAACAAAUGCCCUGCUUCCAGGAAAAGCCUCUAAGCAUCAGGUAACAUCAAAUCGUACCCCAAACCGACACAGGUGGUCAGGUAGAGAAUACCAAGGCGCUUGAGAGAACUCGGGUGAAGGAACUAGGCAAAAUGGUGCCGUAACUUCGGGAGAAGGCACGCUGAUAUGUAGGUGAAGUCCCUCGCGGAUGGAGCUGAAAUCAGUCGAAGAUACCAGCUGGCUGCAACUGUUUAUUAAAAACACAGCACUGUGCAAACACGAAAGUGGACGUAUACGGUGUGACGCCUGCCCGGUGCCGGAAGGUUAAUUGAUGGGGUCAGCGCAAGCGAAGCUCUUGAUCGAAGCCCCGGUAAACGGCGGCCGUAACUAUAACGGUCCUAAGGUAGCGAAAUUCCUUGUCGGGUAAGUUCCGACCUGCACGAAUGGCGUAAUGAUGGCCAGGCUGUCUCCACCCGAGACUCAGUGAAAUUGAACUCGCUGUGAAGAUGCAGUGUACCCGCGGCAAGACGGAAAGACCCCGUGAACCUUUACUAUAGCUUGACACUGAACAUUGAGCCUUGAUGUGUAGGAUAGGUGGGAGGCUUAGAAGUGUGGACGCCAGUCUGCAUGGAGCCGACCUUGAAAUACCACCCUUUAAUGUUUGAUGUUCUAACGUUGACCCGUAAUCCGGGUUGCGGACAGUGUCUGGUGGGUAGUUUGACUGGGGCGGUCUCCUCCUAAAGAGUAACGGAGGAGCACGAAGGUUGGCUAAUCCUGGUCGGACAUCAGGAGGUUAGUGCAAUGGCAUAAGCCAGCUUGACUGCGAGCGUGACGGCGCGAGCAGGUGCGAAAGCAGGUCAUAGUGAUCCGGUGGUUCUGAAUGGAAGGGCCAUCGCUCAACGGAUAAAAGGUACUCCGGGGAUAACAGGCUGAUACCGCCCAAGAGUUCAUAUCGACGGCGGUGUUUGGCACCUCGAUGUCGGCUCAUCACAUCCUGGGGCUGAAGUAGGUCCCAAGGGUAUGGCUGUUCGCCAUUUAAAGUGGUACGCGAGCUGGGUUUAGAACGUCGUGAGACAGUUCGGUCCCUAUCUGCCGUGGGCGCUGGAGAACUGAGGGGGGCUGCUCCUAGUACGAGAGGACCGGAGUGGACGCAUCACUGGUGUUCGGGUUGUCAUGCCAAUGGCACUGCCCGGUAGCUAAAUGCGGAAGAGAUAAGUGCUGAAAGCAUCUAAGCACGAAACUUGCCCCGAGAUGAGUUCUCCCUGACUCCUUGAGAGUCCUGAAGGAACGUUGAAGACGACGACGUUGAUAGGCCGGGUGUGUAAGCGCAGCGAUGCGUUGAGCUAACCGGUACUAAUGAACCGUGAGGCUUAACCU
rnacentral:rRNA from 1 species